CCCGUCCUGACACAUGCUGCAGGUGUGGCUGCUGUCACAUGUGCAUCAGGGGGUGCCAGAGAUGAGAGAGGUCAUGUCUACACUCUCAUGUUCUGACUUAUGAACAUCUGAAUAAUUAGUAGCCUAACAUU